AACGAACGCUGGCGGCGUGCCUAACACAUGCAAGUCGAGCGAGAAAAGGGGGAGCAAUCCCCUGAGUACAGCGGCGCACGGGUGAGUAACACGUAGGUGAUCUCCCCUCGAGCCCGGAACUAACCUACCGAAAGGUGGGCUAAUACCGGAUAUGACCACGGGAGUUUUGGUCUCCUGCGGUGAAAGAUGGCCUCUACCUGUAAGCUAUCACUCAAGGAUGAGCCUGCGUGCCAUUAGCUAGUUGGUGAGGUAACGGCUCACCAAGGCUAUGAUGGCUAGCUGGUCUGA
rnacentral:rRNA from 1 species